GGGGACAUAUCUCAGUUGGUAGAGUGCUUGCCUUGCAUGCACAAGGUCCUGGGUUCAAUCCCCAGCACCACCA
rnacentral:tRNA from 1 species